rnacentral:rRNA from 1 species
UACAGAGGGGGCAAGCGUUGUUCGGAAUUACUGGGCGUAAAGGGCGCGUAGGCGGCCUGUUAAGUCGAACGUGAAAUCCCCGGGCUCAACCCGGGAACUGCGUCCGAUACUGGCAGGCUUGAAUCCGGGAGAGGGAUGUGGAAUUCCAGGUGUAGCGGUGAAAUGCGUAGAUAUCUGGAGGAACACCGGUGGCGAAGGCGGCAUCCUGGACCGGAUUGACGCUGAGGCGCGAAAGCCAGGGGAGCAAACGGG